rnacentral:misc_RNA from 1 species
UAUGUCCCCCAUGAUGCCUUCU